CAAUUCAGCUGCCCCAUCCCAAAUGUCGACUGACCCAACCUAUUCCCAAACAGCCAAAUUCCUUUUUCCCUUUCCUCUUCAUCACAACGUAAAACAACAACUACUUCAGCACACAACAACAAAUGACCCAACAACUAUAUGAUCAGCAACACAGUCAAACAACACCAACGGCAACCUUUAGACCGACGAGCAUUACGAAAUCCAUUGGUUCAUCUCCACCUCUCCUCUACUUUCGUCUCUAUCAACAUCACCUGUUUUCCACCCAUCACUUCUUGUUGAAGUAGAUCAAAUCCCAAGGCUCUGCAUUUCCUGGAAAAGAUGGGAAAGUUCAUGGACCUUCACGUUUUGAGGUUAUUUAGCCCUUCAAACCAAUAGAUGUAAGCCUUUCUACCUUCAAACUAUCACUCGUCUUUCAAAUCAAUCGAAAAGUGUUUUUAGGUUAAGGAGCCAGAUGAAGGGAAGACUUGGAAAAUGCAGAAAAAGGCCACUUACGGUCAAACUGGAGGAUCGUUAGCCAUGUGAUGAACCGCCAGGGUGGUUGCCAGAGUAAAAUAGAAGGGAGUAGUUGAGUUGUCUCAUUAACGGUCCAAGUGGAGGACAGUCAACCAUUCGACGCACUGUUAACUUGUCCGUCAGGGCAAAACAGAACAUGGCAUCUUGGAGGAUCAAGUGACGGCCCAUGCGAUGGAUCGCCAGGACAGCGACGGUUCACUAACAUAACCGUUAACCCUUAAUAGAACCUGACAUUCUGGAACCAUCAGUGAUGGUCCACGCAAUAGAUCGUUAGGCUUUCAACGAGCCACCAGCCUGACUGCCAACUUGGAUGCGGCUUUUCUGAGUUUGAAUUUUAAAUCCUCUGUAUCUGGGAACAUAUAAAUACCCAGUUUAGGUUUUAUUUAGGUAUUUUUUAUCAUGUUUCCAUCUUUGAGACUUAUUUUAGCAUAGUAUUCUCUGAGAUUCAAGAUAAAAUUGUGGAUCUAACCAUUUCUAUCCUCAUUUCUACUAAA